rnacentral:lncRNA from 1 species
GGUAUUUAUCCACCUGGACCAAACUCACUCUCUCUCAUUUAUUCUUUCAUUUCUUUCAUUUUCAGAUCUACUUGCAGCUAAUCAGACAGCUUCCUCAUGUUCCACUUUGAUUCCCUUCCUUUAUUUGAGAUUCUGAGCAGUCCUCACUGAAACCUCCUCAGGGAUCUAUUUCUUCACUCAAGCUACCUACAUAUAUCCAUGAGCAGUAUGGAGGAUCAAAAGAAGAAACACUUUUAAAGUGCCUACCUAGCAUAGUUCCUGGGGCCAGAGAAGUACUACGUAAAUGGUAUUAGCUAUUAGCUAUUUCUAGAAGAUUCAACUUUCAGAGAGGAAAUUUGACUUGUUUUACAGCUGUAAUAUUCUUAUUUUAGCUCAUUUUGUUCUUUUUAAAAUAAGAUUUAUUGAUGUAUUUUGUUUUUGUUACAAACAUUUCCAGAAUACCCUCAUCCUGUGAGAGCUUAAUUGCAACAAAGUAAACCUAUUUAGCAAAACUAACAAUACAAUGAAUUCAUAUAUAAAAGCUCAUGCUACAGUCUGUACCUAUAGCUCCUCCUCCCCACUUUUCUAGUUUUGAAUAUUUUUAACCUUCAUCUUUCAUCUUAGAAUCACUACUAUGUAUUAGUUAUAAAGCAGAAGAGUAGUAAAGGCUAGGCAAUGGGGGUUGAGUGACCCACCCAGGACCAUAUAGUCAAGAAUCAUCUGAGGCCACAUUUGAAUCCAGGACCUCGCAUCUCUAGGCCUGGUUCUUAAUCCACUGAGCCACCUUGCUGCCUCCUUGAAU